CUCUAGAGAUAGAGCUUCCCCUUCGGGGGCAAAGUGACAGGUGGUGCAUGGUUGUCGUCAGCUCGUGUCGUGAGAUGUUGGGUUAAGUCCCGCAACGAGCGCAACCCUUAUUGUUAGUUGCCAUCAUUCAGUUGGGCACUCUAGCAAGACUGCCGGUGACAAACCGGAGGAAGGUGGGGAUGACGUCAAAUCAUCAUGCCCCCUGUCUCUU
rnacentral:rRNA from 1 species